UACGUAGGGGGCAAGCGUUGUCCGGAUUUAUUGGGCGUAAAGAGCGUGUAGGCGGUUUGGUAGGUCCGCUGUGAAAACUCGAGCUCAACUUCGAGACGCCGGUGGAAACCAUCAGACUAGAGUCCGGAAGAGGAGAGUGGAAUUCCUGGUGUAGCGGUGAAAUGCGCAGAUAUCAGGAAGAACACCCGUGGCUAAGGCGGCUCUCUAGUACGGUACUGACGCUGAGACGCGAAAGCGUGGGGAGCGAACAGG
rnacentral:rRNA from 1 species